UUAUUAUUUAUUAUUAUUAUUAUUAUUAUUUUUAUUGUUAUUAUUAUUAAGAGAGUGAGAAAAGUCUUCAACAUCUUGUGAAACAGUUCAGAGGAAUAGGACUGAGUAUGAAUACAGGGGAAAGAAAGUAUUGAACAAAAAAUAUCUAUAACAAUAAGUUAUUUCUUAUCUUUUAAAAAUAGAUAUCUAAGAAGCUCUUCUUGUUCGUAUACAGUAUCAGAAAUGGUACUCACAAGAACUUGAGGAGGCAUUUCCUUCAAAUUGGAAUAAAACCUAGGGUUCAUGGGAACACUGGUCGCAUUCCUUGUAAUGCUGUUUCUGUGGAAGGCAUUAAAGAUGUGGUAGCAUUUUUGGAGAACUAUGCUGAAGACUACGCCAUUUUACUACCUGGGAGGAUACCUGGAGUGAGGGAUUAUGGGAAGGCCAAGCUAUUGCUGUCCAGUGUGUCCCGACGCAUGGUUUACCAACAGUAUGCUGAUGCUGGUAGGGAACAUACUCUCUGUGAAAGUUCCUUUAAAAGAAUAUGGAGAAAGUAUAUUCCCCACAUUUACAGCAUCAAGCCAAUGACAAACUUAUGCUGGACGUGCAAAAAGAACAGCACUGCAAUUUUAAGGAAUGCUGGGUGUGAGAUUGAGCAUCAGUCUGAG
rnacentral:lncRNA from 1 species